GACGAACGCUGGCGGCGUGCUUAACACAUGCAAGUCGAACGGUGGAGCGAGUGCUUGCACUCGGUGAUCAGUGGCGAACGGGUGAGCAAUACGUGAGUAACUUUCCCAUAACUGGGGGAUAAGCACUGGAAACGGUGUCUAAUACUGGAUACGACUAACUCUUGCAUGGGGUGUUGGUGGGAAGAUUUAUCGGUGAUGGAUGGACUCGCGGCCUAUCAGCUUGUUGGCGGGGUAAUGGCCCACCAAGGCGACGACGGGUAGCCGGCCUGAGAGGGUGACCGGCCACACUGGGACUGAGACACGGCCCAGACUCCUACGGGAGGCAGCAGUGGGGAAUAUUGCACAAUGGGCGAAAGCCUGAUGCAGCGACGCCGCGUGAGGGAUGACGGCCUUCGGGUUGUAAACCUCUUUCAGCAGGGAAGAAGCGAAAGUGACGGUACCUGCAGAAGAAGCACCGGCUAACUACGUG
rnacentral:rRNA from 1 species